rnacentral:rRNA from 1 species
GACGUAGGGCGCAAGCGUUGUCCGGAUUUACUGGGCGUAAAGAGCGUGUAGGCGGCCACGCAGGUCCGUUGUGAAAACUGGAGGCUCAACCUCCAGACGUCGACGGAAACCGUAUGGCUAGAGUCCGGAAGAGGAGAGUGGAAUUCCUGGUGUAGCGGUGAAAUGCGCAGAUAUCAGGAGGAACACCGGUGGCGAAGGCGGUUCUCUGGGCAUUACCUGACGCUGAGGAGCGAAAGUGUGGGGAGCGAACAGG